UUUUAUUUUUGUUAGGUAUCUUGCUAACGAGCUAAAACCUCUUGGAUAUCUGCCUUGGCUAAGUCUUAUUUGUAAGCUGGGGGUUCCUUUCUCUGGUACAUUUGGGGAGGAGUAAAAAUCAAAAACAGGAAGAAGAAAUAGCAAAACUAAGGAACUAGAAAUGGAGAUCCAAAGCUCUUAGCUGCAAGCAGUGAUGAAAGCUCAAAAGGAAGAAGAUGACCUUCAAAGUAAUGCAAGUCCUGUUUGGAGCCUUCCUUUGCCAACCAUUCAACAAAUUGGUUACCUUCACGAUAUAUAUGAGAGGCUCUGAAAACCGGCAAC
rnacentral:lncRNA from 1 species